GCUAAACGCGAAGAACCUUACCUGGGUUUGACAUGUAGAGAAAAGCCAUAGAGAUAUGGUGUCCUUCGGGUUCGUACACAGGUGGUGCAUGGUUGUCGUCAGCUCGUGUCGUGAGAUGUUGGGUUAAGUCCGCACGAGCGCAACCCUUCGUCCUAUGUUGCCAGCACGUCAUGGUGGGGACUCGUAGGAGACUGCCGGGGUCAACUCGGAGGAAGGUGGGGACGACGUCAAAUCAUCAUGCCCCUUAUAUCCAGGGCUGCAAACAUGCUACAAUGGCCGGUACAAAGGGCUGCGAAACCGCGAGGUGGAGCGAAUCCCAUAAAGCCGGUCUCAGUUCGGAUUGGAGUCUGCAACUCGACUCCAUGAAGCUGGAGUUGCUAGUAAUCCCGGAUCAGCAACGCCGGGGUGAAUACGUUCCCGGGUCUUGUACACACCG
rnacentral:rRNA from 1 species